rnacentral:rRNA from 1 species
UACGUAGGGUGCAAGCGUUAAUCGGAAUUACUGGGCGUAAAGCGAGCGCAGGCGGUUGUGUAAGACAGAUGUGAAAUCCCCGGGCUCAACCUGGGAACUGCAUUUGUGACUGCACGGCUAGAGUGCGUCAGAGGGGGGUGGAACUCCACGUGUAGCAGUGAAAUGCGUAGAGAUGUGGAAGAACACCGAUGGCGAAGGCAGCCCCCUGGGAUGACACUGACGCUCAUGCUCGAAAGCGUGGGGAGCAAAC